CACAGCGAACAACUGCAAAAGGCAUGACAGAAGUUUGCCGAGACAUUGAACGCAUCGCCGUCCACGUUCAGCCCCAGCCCGGCAGCCAGACCGGGGCUGCUGUUCGGUGGAUAGCCGGCCGCAGGGGCAGGCAUGCGGUCGCGCCAUGCAGUCGGGAACAAUGCACCGGCCAGAUUGGCCGCACACAGGUGUGACUUUUUGAGUUGCACAUCAGGCUCACGGCAGGCUGUGUAAGCGAGACACGGGGCCGACGCAGCCCAGUAAAUAUGCCGAAUCAUUGCGACCUCAUUAUCAGCGAACCAUGCCGGUUACUGGAAUUGUAAUCGGUCCAGUUCUUGCAUCAAGCACCGCCGUCCAAGGACGCCGCUCGAAAACACAACACAACACAGCAGCAAACCUGCAAUGUGUGACCGAAACGCUGCCAGCUACGUUAGCUUGCAACAGUUAGCUAGCGACCAGCUGAUCGCACUAGCAUCGCAAGCGUCUGAACGACAACUGUCAAGGCUACACGGUGACGUCCGUGUAACUCCGUGGCCUCCGGUAAACACGCCGCAAAAUACGGAGGCCGGCGCCACUGAGAGUCGACAUGUAGCGUCUCCCCGGCCGUCGCCGCUGACAGGCUAACGUUAGCUUGAAUGUUUCUGCGGUUGAAAGAAACGUUCACGCGAGCCGAGAUUGACAUUCCUGUCCAGGCUAACUCCCGUGCUAGGGCAGCUAGCAGCGCAGUGCUAACUAGCCCCCUCCGGAGACCUGUGUGUGUUUCGUGUAUCCGCCUUACACUUACCAGCAAGCGGCGUUUACGGCAAAAUACUUCGGUUCUAACGCUGAUGAUAACCCCCAAUGUGUCAAUUAAGUCGAUGCGGGGCCCUCCGUGUAUAUCCAUAUGUCACCAAAAAAAAGCUUUAAUCCAAAAAGUGGUCACUGCUCCCUCUCCUUCCUCCUGCCGGUAGCCAUUUUUCCUCAACAUCCACAGCCAGGUCCCAGCGCUGAUUUUUCCUCCAAACAGCAUCCUCCUCUCGGCCCCGGCCGAGGCCACAUCUGAGAGGCAAACCUGACAUCUGUCGGAUCCACGGAAGAAAACACUUUGGUGAAAAGGAUUUAAGGGACGCACUGAUAAUUCCCCCCCUCCGCUUUCUUAUAUUAAAUCUAACAGGAUAAACCACAAGGCUUGCGUUAAGCCAUUACCCAUUUCCAUUCAUUUUUCCUUUCCUUUUACAAAACAAGCUCAUGAAAACCGAUGUGUCGCAGUUGUUUCAAGUUGUAUUUAAUAUCCUUGAAUAACACUUUGUUUUGUUGUUCUUUUGAGGGACGUUUUUUUUAGGUGAAACAAUUACCAGAAAAAAAGGGGGGGGGGACACGUAAUUUAUAAAUAAAUGCAGGUUCUCUUUCAUAUGUCUUAACCGCUUUUCCCUGCACGAAUCCCCAUAUUUUAUAAUCCUAAUUAACAGAAUUAGAAAAAACCUAAACGGAAAUUUUUCCUCAGUGACGGAAGUAGAGCUGCAACAAUUAGUGGAUUAAAUAAUUAGAUGAUCGACAGAAAAUCAACCAUCAAGCAUUUUGCUAAUCCAAUAAUCAUUUUAGUAUUGAUUAAUUGAUUGAUUGAUUAAAUGAUUUUUAGCAAAAAUGCAUUUGCAGGUUCCAGCUUCUCAAAUAUGAUGAUUUGAUGCUUUUCUCUGUAUAUUUGGGUUUUGGACUGUUGGUCCGAAAAAAACAAGACAUCUGAAGACAUCACCUGGGGCUGCAGGAAAUUUAUAUAAGCCCUGAAUGGAAGAGGUUUUAUUCUUACUUGAGGUGCAAGUUCAUUCACUUGUAUUGUUUGCAACAUGAAGACUGUGUGUACUAUAAUAUAUAAUAAAUACCAGAGGAUGCUAUACAGACAUUAUGCUCUUAAUUAAAAAUUGAAAAAACACAGUGCAGAUGGCAGAAAGUGUUGUGCAAAAAAGGUGUGAAAACAUUAUAUGAAAAUAGAUUCAAAAUAAAAGAAAAAAAACAGUCCACUUGCAAAAAUAAAUGCAGUUUUAAGGAAUUUAUCAAAGGG